UGCGAAGGGUGCAAGCGUUACUCGGAAUUACUGGGCGUAAAGCGUGCGUAGGUGGUUCGUUAAGUCUGAUGUGAAAGCCCUGGGCUCAACCUGGGAAUGGCAUUGGAAACUGGCGACCUAGAGUGCGGUAGAGGGUAGUGGAAUUCCCGGUGUAGCAGUGAAAUGCGUAGAUAUCUGGAGGAACACCGGUGGCGAAGGCGGCAUCCUGGACCAAUACUGACGCUGAGGAGCGAAAGCUAGGGGAGCAAACGGG
rnacentral:rRNA from 1 species